AUGUACACCAAAAUUCCAGCCGAUAGAGAGUCCAAAAUGCCUUCAGCAACCAAUGCCCCGGUGCUGUUGGGGUUGUAAGUGGAGGCAAUGGCAGCGCCUAUGGAGAUGCCGAGGGGUGUGGUGAUGGCGAAGAAGACAGCCAUGAGGGAGGUGGAGAGGGUGUUGAAUUGAGCCUGAGAAAUGCAGCCACCAAGGGCAAAGCCUUCAAAGAACUGAUGGAAGGAGAGAGCUGCAAUUAAGGGUCUAAUGGUGCAUGGGCUGUGGGACACUCCAAGAGAUAGCCCAAUUAUGACUGAAUGUGACACUAUUCCAAGCUCCAAAAUCUGGGAAACAACGACAUGUCGUACACCGCUUUCGUCAUCGUCGCCGUCCAGCCCAUGAGAAUGAACAUGUCCAUGGGCAUGCCCGUGCCCAUGCCCAUGAUCAUGACCCGUCACGUGCCCAUCACAUGCCUGCUUCCCCUGUGGAUGACUGUGCCGGUGGUGGGCGGCGUGGGCAUGCAUUCCGACAAUGUGCAUCGCGCCGCCGUCCUCUUCCCCAAACACUUUCACGUUCAAAUCUCCGGCCGGAACAAUGCCGGAUUCCAACCCCGAAUCCAUAAUCGACCCGACCCGAUUCGCCUCCUCUUUCGACCGAAUCAUCCCCUGUUUCCGCUCGUAGUACUGAGUUCCGACGAAAUCGACGAGGAGCGUCA
rnacentral:misc_RNA from 1 species